UAUCUUGUGGGAACAUUUCCGCGUGAAGUUGACAAUAGAUUACCAAUGUGUGGAAAUGCUUUUCCUGUGUG
rnacentral:pre_miRNA from 1 species